rnacentral:misc_RNA from 1 species
UUAACUAUUAUAUAGUACUCAGACUUCAUAUACAAACAGAGUUUAGGUCCUCUGACACGCGCGAGCCAGCCGGAGCCGGUGCCCAGAGGGCGGCGUGCCAAAGCAACAAAUAUAUAAUACGCAAAGGGUGAGGUUUGCUACCCAGAGGGCAGCGAACACUGUAAUGAUCCUUCCGCAGGUUCACCUACGGAAA